rnacentral:rRNA from 1 species
AUGUCAGAGAAGUUUGAGAUGUCUAUGAUGAGUGAACUCAAAUUCUUUCUUGGUUUGCAAAUCAAGCAAACUAAGGAAGGUACCUUUGUCUAUCAAACAAAGUAUACCAAGGACCUUUUCAAGAAGUUCAACAUGAAAGAAAGCAAAGGUACGAAAACACCCAUGCCUACUAGUGGACAUCUUGACUUGACUAAGGAUGGCAAACCGGUUGACCAAAAUUUUUUACCGCUCUAUGAUUGGAUCAUUGCUAUAUCUAUGUGCCUCCCGUCCCGAUAUUAUGCUAGGUGUGUGCAUGUGUGCAUGAUAUCAAUCGGCCCCUAA